UACGGGGGGGGCAAGCGUUGUUCGGAAUUACUGGGCGUAAAGGGCUCGUAGGCGGCCAACUAAGUCGGACGUGAAAUCCCUCGGCUCAACCGGGGAACUGCGUCCGAUACUGGAUGGCUUGAAUCCGGGAGAGGGAUGCGGAAUUCCAGGUGUAGGGGUGAAAUGCGUAGAUAUCUGGAGGAACACCGGUGGCGAAGGCGGGUCUGCUGGGCAGUAGCUGGACGCUGAGGCGCGACAGCGUGGGG
rnacentral:rRNA from 1 species